rnacentral:rRNA from 1 species
CCCUUAGAUGUCCUGGGCCGCACGCGCGCUACACUGACAUGUUCAACAAGCCUCCUAGUUCGACAGGAUUUGGGAAAUCUUUGAACACAUGUCGUGAUAGGGAUAGAUCAUUGCAAUUAUUGAUCUUGAACGAGGAAUUCCUAGUAAACGCGAGUCAUCAGCUCGCAUUGAUUACGUCCCUGCCCUUUGUACACACCGCCCGUCGCACCUACCGAUUGAAUGUUUCGGUGAAGAUUCCGGAUAGGACUUUUUUGAUUUAUUUCAAUUUUGUCUUAAAAGCUAUCUAAACCUCAACAUUUAGAGGAAGGUGAAGUCGUAACA